GAUGAACGCUAGCUACAGGCUUAACACAUGCAAGUCGAGGGGAAACGAUAGAGAAAGCUUGCUUUUUCUAGGCGUCGACCGGCGCACGGGUGAGUAACGCGUAUCCAACCUGUCCAUCACUUGGGGAUAACCUUGCGAAAGUAAGACUAAUACCCAAUGAUAUCUCUAGAAGACAUCUGAAGGAGAUUAAAGAUUUAUCGGUGAUGGAUGGGGAUGCGUCUGAUUAGCUUGUUGGCGGGGUAACGGCCCACCAAGGCGACGAUCAGUAGGGGUUCUGAGAGGAAGGCCCCCCACAUUGGAACUGAGACACGGUCCAAACUCCUACGGGAGGCAGCAGUGAGGAAUAUUGGUCAAUGGGCGAGAGCCUGAACCAGCCAAGUAGCGUGCAGGAUGACGGCCCUAUGGGUUGUAAACUGCUUUUAUAAGGGAAUAAAGUGAGUCUCGUGAGGCUUUUUGCAUGUACCUUAUGAAUAAGGACCGGCUAAUUCCGUGCCAGCCGCCGCGGUAA
rnacentral:rRNA from 1 species